rnacentral:rRNA from 1 species
CAGUCGCCACGGGAAUACAGAGGGUGCAAGCGUUAAUCGGAAUUACUGGGCGUAAAGCGCGCGUAGGUGGUUCGCCAAGUUGGAUGUGAAAUCCCCGGGCUCAACCUGGGAACUGCAUCCAAAACUGGCGAGCUAGAGUAUGGUAGAGGGUGGUGGAAUUUCCUGUGUAGCGGUGAAAUGCGUAGAUAUAGGAAGGAACAUCAGUGGCGAAGGCGACCACCUGGACUGAUACUGACACUGAGGUGCGAAAGCGUGGGGAGCAAACAGGAUUAGAUACCCGCGUAGUCCCUGUCUCUUAUAA